rnacentral:lncRNA from 1 species
CAGGAACCUCAUAAGUUCUUGGGAUGUUUCUCUCAGUUAUUGGACCAGCUCCUGCCUUCAUGCCACCAUGCUCCCCACUAUGAUAAUGGACUACACCUAUGAAAAUGUGAGCAAGCCCCAGUAAAAUGUCUUCUUUGGUUGUGGCUCAUAAUCAUCUGUAAUGGGAUAUGAUGGACUCUUCUGGUGUGUCUGGGGACAGCAACAGUGUACUCAUACAAUCAAUCAAUCAAUCAAUCAAUAAAUAAAUGCAGAUUCAGUGGGCAAUGUAGCACCACAGUGUCCUGUGACAAACACUUCUACUGAGUUUCAGAAUGUUUCUGUCCUCCCAAAUGAGACUUUGUCUCCUAGCAGUCU